rnacentral:ncRNA from 2 species
CCACUGUCCCUGUCUACUAUCCAGC